rnacentral:tRNA from 1 species
GCCUGGGUGGCUCAGUCGGUUAAGCUUCUGACUUUGGCUCAGGUCAUGAUCUCUCGGUUCGUGGGUUCGAGCCCCGCGUAGGGCU